rnacentral:rRNA from 1 species
GAUGAACGCUGGCGGCGUGCCUAAUACAUGCAAGUCGAGCGAACGGACGAGAAGCUCGCUUUUUUGAUGUUAGCGGCUGACGGGUGAGUAACACGUGGAUAACCUACCUAUUAGACUGGGAUAACUUCGGGAAACCGGUGCUAAUACCGGAUGAUACUUUGUACCGCAUGGUUCAAAAGUGAAAGACGGUCUUGCUGACACUUAUAGAUGGAUCCGCGCUGCAUUAGCUAGUUGGUAAGGUAACGGCUUACCAAGGCAACGAUGCAUAGCCGACCUGAGAGGAUGACAGGCCACACUGGAACUGAGACACGGUCCAGACUCCUACGGGAGGCAGCAGUAGGGAAUCUAGCACAAAGGGCGAAAGCCUGACCGAGCAACGCCGCGUGAGUGACGAAGGUCUUCGGAUCGUAAACCUCUGUUAUCAGGGAAGAACAGAUGUGUGAUUAACUGUGCACAUCUUGACGGUACCAAAUCAGAAAGCCACGGCUAACUACGUG